rnacentral:rRNA from 1 species
UAGGGAAUCUUCGGCAAUGGACGGAAGUCUGACCGAGCAACGCCGCGUGAGUGAAGAAGGCUUUCGGAUCGUAAAGCUCUGUUGUUAGAGAAGAACGUUGGUAGGAGUGGAAAAUCUACCAAGUGACGGUAACUAACCAGAAAGGGACGGCUAACUACGUGCCAGCAGCCGCGGUAAUACGUAGGUCCCGAGCGUUGUCCGGAUUUAUUGGGCGUAAAGCGAGCGCAGGCGGUUCUUUAAGUCUGAAGUUAAAGGCAGUGGCUUAACCAUUGUACGCUUUGGAAACUGGAGGACUUGAGUGCAGAAGGGGGGAGUGGAAUUCCAUGUGUAGCGGUGAAAUGCGUAGAUAUAUGGAGGAACACCGGUGGCGAAAGCGGCUCUCUGGUCUGUAACUGACGCUGAGGCUCGAAAACGUGGGGAGCAAACAGG